rnacentral:rRNA from 1 species
UGAAACUGCGAAUGGCUCAUUACAACAGUUAUAGUUUAUUUGAUCGUGCGGAGCUCGUGGAUAUCCGUAGGAAUUCUAGAGCUAAUACAUGCACCGUCGCCGAGGCUCUUUGGUUAGACUUUGACGGGAUUUAUUAGAUCAAAAACCAAUCGCCAUUCAUCACCUGAUGAAAGGCGUGGCGGGAUGAAUCACAAUAACUAAACCGAAUCGCAUGGCCGUGAUUUGGCCGGCGAUAAAUCAUUCAAAUUUCUGCCCUAUCAACUUUCGAUGGUAGGGUAGUGGCCUACCAUGGUGUUGACGGGUGACGGAGAAUUAGGGUUCGAUUCCGGAGAGGGAGCCUGAGAAACGGCUACCACAUCCAAGGAAGGCAGCAGGCGCGCAAAUUACCCAAUCCUGACUCAAGGAGGUAGCGACAAGAAAUAACGAUAGCGGGCUCGUUCGAGUCCGCGCAUCGGAAUGAGGACAAUCUACACCCCUUCUCGAGGAUCCAUUGGAGGGCAAGCCUGGUGCCAGCAGCCGCGGUAAUUCCAGCUCCAAUAGCGUAUACUAAAGUUGUUGCAGUUAAAGAGCUCGUAGUCGAAUGAAGGUUUUUUUGGUAGCGCGGACUCUAAGGUGUAACCUUGGCAGGCUGCGCCCAAAACCUCCCUUGUGUGAGACGCUUUUCUCUAGUUAGAAAAAUCGCCCACAUACAUUACUGUGAACAAAAUAGAGUGUUCAUGGCAGCCAAUUAGGCUUGAUACUCAGCAUGAAUAAUAGAAUAGGACUUCGUCUUAUUUUGUGGUUUUUGGAGCCGAAGUAUGAUAUAGGGAUAGUGGGGCACUCGUACUCCGUGUCRAGGUGAAAUUCUUGAUGACGGAAGACGAACACCUGCAGCAUCUGCCA